UACAGAGGGGGCAAGCGUUGUUCGGAAUUACUGGGCGUAAAGGGCGCGUAGGCGGCCUGUUAAGUCGAACGUGAAAUCCCCGGGCUCAACCCGGGAACUGCGUCCGAUACUGGCAGGCUUGAAUUCGGGAGAGGGAUGCGGAAUUCCAGGUGUAGCGGUGAAAUGCGUAGAUAUCUGGAGGAACACCGGUGGCGAAGGCGGCAUCCUGGACCGAGAUUGACGCUGAGGCGCGAAAGCAUGGGGAGCGAACAGG
rnacentral:rRNA from 1 species